rnacentral:rRNA from 1 species
GAUGAACGCUGGCGGCGUGCCUAAUACAUGCAAGUCGAGCGAACAGACGAGGAGCUUGCUCCUCUGACGUUAGCGGCGGACGGGUGAGUAACACGUGGAUAACCUACCUAUAAGACUGGGAUAACUUCGGGAAACCGGAGCUAAUACCGGAUAAUAUAUUGAACCGCAUGGUUCAAUAGUGAAAGACGGUUUUGCUGUCACUUAUAGAUGGAUCCGCGCCGCAUUAGCUAGUUGGUAAGGUAACGGCUUACCAAGGCAACGAUGCGUAGCCGACCUGAGAGGGUGAUCGGCCACACUGGAACUGAGACACGGUCCAGACUCCUACGGGAGGCAGCAGUAGGGAAUCUUCCACAAUGGGCGAAAGCCUGACGGAGCAACGCCGCGUGAGUGAUGAAGGUCUUCGGUUCGUAAAACUCUGUUAUUAGGGAAGAACAAAUGUGUAAGUAACUAUGCACGUCUUGACGGUACCUAAUCAGAAAGCCACGGCUAACUACGUG